GACGAACGCUGGCGGCGUGCUUAACACAUGCAAGUCGAACGGAAAGGCCCUGCUUUUGUGGGGUGCUCGAGUGGCGAACGGGUGAGUAACACGUGAGUAACCUGCCCUUGACUUUGGGAUAACUUCAGGAAACUGGGGCUAAUACCGGAUAGGAGCUCCUGCUGCAUGGUGGGGGUUGGAAAGUUUCGGCGGUUGGGGAUGGACUCGCGGCUUAUCAGCUUGUUGGUGGGGUAGUGGCUUACCAAGGCUUUGACGGGUAGCCGGCCUGAGAGGGUAACCGGCCACAUUGGGACUGAGAUACGGCCCAGACUCCUACGGGAGGCAGCAGUGGGGAAUAUUGCACAAUGGGCGGAAGCCUGAUGCAGCAACGCCGCGUGCGGGAUGACGGCCUUCGGGUUGUAAACCGCUUUCGCCUGUGACGAAGCGUGAGUGACGGUAAUGGGUAAAGAAGCACCGGCUAACUACGU
rnacentral:rRNA from 1 species